rnacentral:lncRNA from 1 species
GUCUAACAAAAUACAUCGACAUUCAUUUGAACAAAUACAAAAUCUAAGAGUUUAACAAAAUAAAUUUUCAUAAAUUUAUAAACACUUCCAAGUUCCAAGUUAUCUGUUAAAAGAGAAAGAAAUAAAUAAAUGAUUUAUUAAGUUCCAAGAUCUAACCCUAUUCAGGCGACCAACCUGGUCGCAUUGUUUUUUUAAUUUUAAACGAG